UGAUCAACAUCACAAAUGCGGCUGCUCACGACGCUUCUCGGCCCACAAUUUCAGAUCAUACGCCACCCUACACGCCACAAUUUUGCUCUGAAGCUAGUAGUUUAGCCAAACAUAUAAAAAAACUUACCGAGACGAAGGACAAAUAUGCCGUCAGACUAAAAAAAGCUAUGUCUCUCUCAACCAACACGGCUUUUCAGAAAGCCAUCGGUAAAUUUACCACAAUGGCAUUGCUAUUUGUCAUGAUGCAAUUUAGGGAGAUAAAUAAAAAGAAAAUGGGAAGGAGAUUCACAAAGCAAGAAAAAAUAAUGGCAUUAUCUCUUUAUAAGCAAGGACCUAAGGCGUAUAGAUGGCUGAGGCACAUUUUUGUACUACCAUCGCCUCUCACAUUAUCAAGGAUGAUAUCCGCUGCAGCCUUAAAAGCCGGUAUAAAUGAUAACAUUUUCGAAAAUCUUAAAAAAAAGGCCAGAAAAAUGUCGAUAUCUGAAAGGCUGUGUAUUUUAUUCUUCGACGAGAUGGCAAUUAAACCUCAUUUUGAAUACAAUUCAAAAAAAGACAUGAUCAUCGGAUUCGUUGACAACGGAAAAAGGAGGGUCAAAAAAAUCGCUGACCACGCGCUAGUUUUUAUGAUAAGAGGCAUCACAAAAAAUUAUAAACAGCCCAUUAGUUACAGCUUUUGUUGUGGAGCCACCGAGAAACACGAAUUAGCGCAGGCCAUAAAAGACCACAUA